rnacentral:rRNA from 1 species
AACGAACGCUGGCGGCGGGCCUCAUACAUGCAAGUCGAGCGCGAAAGUCCGCAAGGAUGAGUAAAGCGGCGCACGGGUGAGUAACACGUGGAUAAUCUACCCUUUGGAUUGGAAUAACCUGUCGAAAGACGGGCUAAUGCCGAGUAAGCUUACGAGUUCGUGAAGUUCUUGUAAGGAAAGAUGGCGCAAGCUAUCGCCGAUGGAUGAGUCUGCGUCCCAUUAGUUAGUUGGUGGGGUAAUGGCUUACCAAGACUAUGAUGGGUACCUGGUCUGAGAGGAUGACCAGGCACACUGGAACUGAAACACGGUCCAGACUCCUACGGGAGGCAGCAGUAGGGAAUAUUGCGCAAUGGACGAAAGUCUGACGCAGCCACGCCACGUGAGUGAGGAAGGCCUUCGGGUUGUAAAGCGUCUGUCAUUCGGG